AAGCCUGAUGCAGCGACGCCGCGUGAGGGAUGACGGCCUUCGGGUUGUAAACCUCUUUCAGUAGGGAAGAAGCGAAAGUGACGGUACCUGCAGAAGAAGCGCCGGCUAACUACGUGCCAGCAGCCGCGGUAAUACGUAGGGCGCAAGCGUUAUCCGGAAUUAUUGGGCGUAAAGAGCUCGUAGGCGGUUUGUCGCGUCUGCCGUGAAAGUCCGGGGCUCAACUCCGGAUCUGCGGUGGGUACGGGCAGACUAGAGUGAUGUAGGGGAGACUGGAAUUCCUGGUGUAGCGGUGAAAUGCGCAGAUAUCAGGAGGAACACCGAUGGCGAAGGCAGGUCUCUGGGCAUUAACUGACGCUGAGGAGCGAAAGCAUGGGGAGCGAACAGGAUUAGAUACCCUGGUAGUCCAUGCCGUAAACGUUGGGCACUAGGUGUGGGGGACAUUCCACGUUUUCCGCGCCGUAGCUAACGCAUUAAGUGCCCCGCCUGGGGAGUACGGCCGCAAGGCUAAAACUCAAAGGAAUUGACGGGGGCCCGCACAAGCGGCGGAGCAUGCGGAUUAAUUCGAUGCAACGCGAAGAACCUUACCAAGGCUUGACAUGAACCGGAAACACCUGGAAACAGGUGCCCCGCUUGCGGUCG
rnacentral:rRNA from 1 species